AAUGCCUCUUCUUUUCCCUUAAUCUUUAGGUUACAGAAGUUUAAGCACUAGACAAGCACUGAAGACAAUUUUGAAAUGCUGUUGAGAUUAAAUAAUUUCAGAGCCAAAGCAGUAUGUUAAAAGGUUCCUAUGACUUCUUAAAUUCUUCCUGUGCUGCCUGUCACACAAUGUUGGAAGAAAGAGGACCAAUUUUGCUACGUUAUUUCCCUUUACACCUGUUAGUAUAAUUUGCUCCUACUGGGUUAACUACGUAAAUAUUUGUUAAUGGCUACAGAGCUGCUCAUUAUACUAAUAAUAGAAUAUUCUGAGAUGGAAGGGAUCCACAAGAAUCCUCAUGAAUGAUGGAGAAAAUUAAAUGCAAUAAUUUCUCCAGGUUGCUUCAGACUGGUUUGCCCUUAUUCUAUCAGAAUAAAAAUUUUUGACA